rnacentral:rRNA from 1 species
GACGAACGCUGGCGGCGCGCUUAACACAUGCAAGUCGAGCGAGAACCAGGGCUUCGGCCCUGGGGACAGCGGCGAACGGGUGAGUAACACGUGGGUAAUCUGCCCUCGGCACUGGGAUAACCCGGGGGAAACCCGGACUAAUACCGGAUGGCCUCUCGAGCCUUGGGGCUUGAGAGAAAAGGGUAGCUUCGGCCUCCGGCCGAGGAUGAGCCCGCGGCCGAUUAGCUUGUUGGCGGGGUAACGGCCCACCAAGGCGACGAUCGGUAGCUGGUCUGAGAGGACGAUCAGCCACACUGGGACUGAGACACGGCCCAGACUCCUACGGGAGGCAGCAGUGGGGAAUCUUGCGCAAUGGGCGAAAGCCUGACGCAGCGACGCCGCGUGCGGGAAGAAGGCCUUCGGGUUGUAAACCGCUUUCAGGAGGGACGAAGCCACUCGGGUUAAUAGCCCAGAGGGUGACGGUACCUCCAGAAGAAGCCCCUGGCUAACUACGUGCCAGCAGCCGCGGUAAUACGUAGGGGGGUCCCAGCGUUGUCCGGAUUUAUUGGGCGNAAAGAGCGUGUAGGCGGCCAGGUAGGUCUGGUGUG